rnacentral:lncRNA from 1 species
GCUUCCUCUUGCAAACCCCUUCUCUUCCUUUUCCCAGAAACACUGAGCAACUAUGUUGAAUGGAUUUCUCUACGAAGGUUAUUUUACAGGUCAGGAGGUUAGCUUACUUUUGUCUUUUUACUGCAUCUGUUUCAGAAGAAAUCCUCUGUGUGUCCUCCUGAAUCAUAAAGGCUGGUAAGAAUGAGAAGCCUAAGUCAUCAUUAAUCCACAGGCAAAGUGCUAUUCAAGCAGCUGUAGUGAAAGCUCUCGUAUGCUGCCCUGGAAAUAACCCCAGCCUUGACGUGGUAAAAUGACCCUAGGUGUCAGCGACACAACACCGCCACCAUGCAGUGAGUGGACGGAUGUCUGAAAAUGUGCUAGCCCUUCUGAGUUCCAGCAGCCCUCCCAGACCUGCACGCAGUACUGCAUUCACUUCAGGACACAAAAUGAACUUUUGUAAUGGAAUCAAGGAAAUGGAAAUAACAAAAACUAUUGACACAAUUGACUUGCAGUGUUCAGUAAGGCUCUCCUGCUGCGAGAAAAAUUGAGACUCCAUAGAAACCAUGUCCCUGAGCCCUUUGAAUCAGGUAAUGUCACAUCUAACUUUCAGUAUUGAGUGCCAGCUCCCAUAAAUAUUGUUCCUGCUAUUAAGUACUGCUGCCC